rnacentral:tRNA from 1 species
GGGCGGUUAGCUCAGCUGGCUAGAGCAUCUCGUUUACACCGAGAGGGUCAGGAGUUCGAAUCUCUUACCGCCUACCA